GAGGGUAUAGCUCAAGUGGUAGAGUGCAUGCUUAGCAUGCGUGAGGUCCUGGGUUCAAUCCCCAGUACCUCCU
rnacentral:tRNA from 1 species